rnacentral:SRP_RNA from 1 species
UUGUGGGUUCCGUGCGAUUUUGGCUCGUGAACUCCGUCAGGUUCGGAAGGAAGCAGCGGUAAGCGAAUCCCAGGAUGUGCCGCGGGUUGAUCUGCACCGG